CCUACGGGAGGCAGCAGUGAGGAAUAUUGGUCAAUGGGCGUAAGCCUGAACCAGCUAAGUCGCGUGAGGGAUGAAGGUUCUCUGGAUCGUAAACCUCUUUUAUAAGGGAGUAAAGUGUGGGACGUGUCCUAUUUUGUAUGUACGUUAUGAAUAAGAAUCGCAUAACUCAGUGACAGCAGCCGCGGUAAUACGGAGGGUCCGAGCGUUAUCCGGAUUUAUUGGGUUUAGAGGGUGCGUAGGCGGCCUUUUAAGUCAGCGGUGAAAGUCUGUGGCUCAACCAUAGAAUUGCCGUUGAGACUGGGGGGCUUGAGUAUGUUUGAGGCAGGUGGAAUGCGUGGUGUAGCGGUGAAAUGCUUAGAUAUCACGCAGAACACCGAUUGCGAAGGCAGCCUGCUAAGCCAUGACUGACGCUGAUGCACGAAAGCGUGGGGAUCAAACAGGAUUAGAUACCCGGGUAGUC
rnacentral:rRNA from 1 species